UAUCUUCCCUUUCAGUAUUUUAGUACUGACAGCAGAACAUUGAACAUGGUAUUGGGGCUGAAGUGGAUUCUCUUUGUUGUUUUUUUUCAAGGUGUGCAUUGUGAGGUGCAGCUUGUUGAGUCUGGUGGAGGAUUGGUGCAGCCUAAAGGGUCAUUGAAACUCUCAUGUGCUGCCUCUGGAUUCACCUUCAAUACCUAUGCCAUGAACUGGGUCCGGCAGGCUCCAGGAAAGGGUCUGGAAUGGGUUGCUCGCAUAAGAAGUAAAAGUAAUAAUUAUGCAACAUUUUAUGCUGAUUCAGUGAAAGACAGAUUCACCAUUUCCAGAGAUGAUUCUCAAAGCAUGCUCUACCUACAAAUGAACAACCUGAAAACUGAGGACACAGCCACAUAUUACUGUACAAGAGACACAUCACAUUUAUUCUUUUUUUGGGGACACUCCCAUGUACCAUAG